GGCCAGACUCCUACGGGAGGCAGCAGUGGGGAAUAUUGCACAAUGGGGGAAACCCUGAUGCAGCAACGCCGCGUGGGUGAAGGAGCGUUUCGGCGCGUAAAGCCCUGUCAGCGGGGAAGAAAGACGGUACCCGACCAAGAAGCCCCGGCUAACUACGUGCCAGCAGCCGCGGUAAUACGUAGGGGGCAAGCGUUAUCCGGAUUCACUGGGUGUAAAGGGAGCGUAGACGGCGACGCAAGUCUGGAGUGAAAGCCCGGGGCCCAACCCCGGGACUGCUCUUGGAACUGCGCGGCUGGAGUGCAGGAGGGGCAGGCGGAAUUCCUGGUGUAGCGGUGAAAUGCGUAGAUAUUAGGAGGAACACCAGUGGCGAAGGCGGCCUGCUGGGCUUUUACUGACGCUGAGGCUCGAAAGUGUGGGGAGCAAACAGGAUUAGAUACCCCAGUA
rnacentral:rRNA from 1 species